rnacentral:rRNA from 1 species
GAUGAACGCUGGCGGCGUGCCUAAUACAUGCAAGUCGAGCGAACGGACGAGAAGCUUGCUUCUCUGAUGUUAGCGGCGGACGGGUGAGUAACACGUGGAUAACCUACCUAUAAGACUGGGAUAACUUCGGGAAACCGGAGCUAAUACCGGAUGAUAUUUUGAACCGCAUGGUUCAAAGUGAAAGACGGUCUUGCUGUCACUUAUAGAUGGAUCCGCGCUGCAUUAGCUAGUUGGUAAGGUAACGGCUUACCAAGGCAACGAUGCAUAGCCGACCUGAGAGGGUGAUCGGCCACACUGGAACUGAGACACGGUCCAGACUCCUGCGGGAGGCAGCAGUAGGGAAUCUUCCGCAAAGGGCGAAAGCCUGACGGAGCAACGCCGCGUGAGUGAUGAAGGUCUUCGGAUCGUAAAACUCUGUUAUUAGGGAAGAACAUAUGUGUAAGUAACUGUGCACAUCUUGACGGUACCUAAUCAGAAAGCCACGGCUAACUACGUG